rnacentral:rRNA from 1 species
AUUAUGCUAGAUUAAUUGUUAACCAGGGUAGUAAUGUUUAAACCUAAAAAAUUUGGGGGUGGUUUAAAUUACCAGAGGAACUUGUCCUGUAAUUGAUAACCCACAUUUUAACUUACUUUUCCUAAGGCCUAUAUACCGUCGUCAUCAGGGUAUUUUGAUAAUUAUACUCGGGAGUUAGAGUUAAAGGAUGCCAGAUCAAGGUGUAGCUAAUGGAGGAGAAGAGAUGAGUUACAAUAAUCAUAAUUAAACGGAUUUACAUGUAAAUUUAAUGAAGGUGGAUUUGAGUGUAAAUUUUUAUAGAAGAUAAGUUGAUAGAAUACCUAAACU